AUGAAGCGCGUUAGGGAUUGCAGCGACAUCCUUUUUUUGAAGGCACGAAAAAAAAAAGAUAUAGCGUAAAGCCCGACCCUUG
rnacentral:sRNA from 1 species